GAGGCUGAGGCGGGCGCGUCACUUGAGGUCAGGAAUUCGAGACCAGCCUGGCCAACAUGUUGAAAACCCGUCUCUACAAAAAAUACAAAAAUUAGCUGGGCGUGGUGGCGCGCGCCUGUAGUCCCAGCUACUUGGGAAGCUGAGGCACGAGAAUCGCUUGAGCCCAGGAGGCUGAGGUUGCAGUGAGCCGAGAUUCCGCCAUUGCACUCCAGCCUGGGCGACAGAGCGAGACUCCGUCUCAAAAAAAUUUUAAAAAGUACAAAAAUUAGCUGGGCCACCUGACGUGCGCCUGUAGUCCCAGCUGCUCGGGAGGCUGAGGUAGGAGGAUCGCUUGAGCCGGGGAGUUUGAGGUUGCAGUGAGCCAAGAUCGUACCAUUGCAC
rnacentral:lncRNA from 1 species